UCUGAAUCAAGUGAAGAUAGCGAACUCGAGAAUUCUGUAAAAUGCACUGGUGAGGUUUUGUUAAUCAACAAUACUGUAUAACUCCUUACUAAGAAAAAUCAAAAAGUACCAUAUUUUUUAAUUUCUUGGUCUGUCUAUAUAUAGUAUAUGAAAUUGCAAAAAUUAGUUGAUUGUACUUACCGGUGAUAAACAACAGCUAAAAAGAAUAAUAUCUUAAAAAUUGCUGCGUAAUUGCCGAAAAUGAAAAUAUUGCUAAAGUGGAAUAUUUUGCGUCAAAUAAAUGAAAUUAUUGUACUUGAACACGAAAGUUUAUUUGAUACAACUCGCAGACAGCUUAGAUCCGAAAUCAUCGUAUCCGUUUUCACAAUAUUUAUUUCCAUAUUCUUGAAAUUGGAGUCCGAAAAUAUACAGAAACUAAUAAAAAGAAAUAGAUUAUCUUAAUCCCUAUAAUACUUAAUAAUUAUUAAUUCGCUAUUCGUCGUUAGCCCGUGGAAAAUCCACGGGUUCGCCCGUCCUUUUUAUACCGCAUUGCGUGCUUCUCGCUAUUGCGCAGCUAAGCUACCAUUUUGCGUGACAGACAGACAGACAGACGUAAACGGGUAUUAUAAUAUAGAUAAUUAACCUUUUUAAAAUAUGGAAAAAAAUUCAUUAAAGAAAUACUGAAAUAAAGAAAUGAAAAUGAUAAUAAAGAUGGCGGAAUUAAUGUUUGCGAAUUUGUUUUCACAAACCAAAAUUCCACAAAUUACCAGACAAGGGCGGACAUCCGCAAAGUUGAGAUUCCAACAAUCUGAUUAAAGAUUUUCAAUUGCAACUAAAUGAGACUAUUCGUAACUUUUUUAUUUCGCAUAUUUCAUACAAUUUUUGAAAGCAUCCAUCCGCAAAAAUUGCUUCCGCGACAAUUUCUUCUCUUCUAUUGGAGGACGAAAUAAGAAUGAAAUCAUUGAAAUUUGUAUGCCCUUUUCGUGUAUAAAUUAAUCUUGUAAUGUUUUCUUUUACAGGUCAACAAGAAAGAAAAUACAUUCAAUGGUCGUCAGAGCAAGAGGAUAAACUAUACAAAAAAUUUGCAAGACAUAUAAAAAAUAAAAAAAAUGGAUGGCCUUGCUCUGAUGAUCUGAAAACAUUCGCCAACGAGGAAGGAAUUACUGUUGGAACUGUUCGAAAUAAAAUUAACAAUGAAAGAGGAAAAAUAGCACGACAAGCGGAAGCGAAAAAAAAGAAAAUGAACAUUGUUUAAUUGUGAUAGAGCUUUGGUUUCUUUUAUUUUUAUUAUUUUUACGUUACCAUAAAAGUACAUGUUUAUAAUUAUUUAUUAUGUUUACAAAAGUACAUUUAUAAAAACAUGUACACUAUACAUGUUUUUAUAAAUAAUGUGACAGCUUUUAUCAUCAUCAAAUUUUCUUGAGUAUACUCUAAAAAAUUCAAGUCUAAACAACACAUCACUCCGUCACCCCUUAGACGGGGAGAAAGGCAAGAAAAAGUGUUAAAGUCACGAGGAUAAUUUCUAUACAGGUUUCAAUCAUGUUUUAACAAUCAAAAUGUAUGAUCAACGAUAAUUUAAUUCAACUCUCCCCCCUCUCCCAUGAAAAAUAUUUUGAACUGUGUGGUUUUCAUAACUGUAUGUGAUAAGAAAACUGGCUCUCAUAAGUGAAGUAUAUCUUUUAAGGGGAUUAAUUUUCGCGGGUAUUAAGUUUCGCGGUUUUUUCGGAGUUUUUCCAAAAACGCGAAAAUACGUCGCCGCGAAAAGUUUAAAUAUCCCUGAUCUGGGAAAUUUCCAAAUCGGCCUGAUACAAAAGACAAUGAUGUAUAACUUUCUCUGGGACAUUUUCCUUUCUCUUCUGUAUGUUGUUUCGAAAUAACUCACCGGAAUAGUUGUUUUUCCAAAUUUGCAUAAUUCGCAAAAAUAAGUUACCGCGAAAUUUUCUUCAACACUAAAUUUGUGAAAAUAAAUUCCCUUUUUUCCCGCCAAAUUCUAGUAAAAAAAAAUUCUGCGAAAAUAAGUCCCCGCGAAAAUUAAUUCCCUGAAGGUAUCUUGUUUACACAGUUAUUUCUCGUUUAUUCGUGAUAUAGUUCGUACAAGGUGAUACAUUUAGGAAGGUUUAAGGCGUUAAACAGAUUAUCAUUUAGCGUACGUUUCUUGAUUUCUCAGUCCUUCCUUACGCAGCCCCAUUAUAUAACUAGUGUCAAAUGAGAAAAAGGAAAAGGAAGUUAAUUUCUGUGGAAUUAGUAAGAUAUAACUGCUUGGUUAUCCAGGUUCGUUUAUUUAAAUUCGAAGAAGCAGCAAAUGAUUAAUCGUUUUUUGUUUUUUUGUUUGCAUAUAAAAAUGUAUGAAAAUACUGAAUUUUAUGUGUUUACCCUUUUUUUUCAUUUUUACCCUUGUUCUGUUGUUUUUAAUAACGCAUAUUAUAGAUUUAGGUGUUCUUCUUUCUUUUUUGAUUUUUGUUAUGUUCAAAGGAGUCUAUUACUACGCAUGUCAUGUGUUUGGAAGUUUCAGGAAUACACUUUUAUUUUGA